CUGUCAAUUUACAAAUGAGACAGAAGGACAGAGGGAUCCAACAACUCGCCCCAAAUCACAGAGAUGAGAAGCGAAUUCAAGGCUGUCAAGCCUUGGCUGCCAACAUUAGUUACAAUAGCCAAAGACACGGAAGCAGCCCAAGAGUCCAUUCACAGAUGAGUGGAUAAAGAAGAUGUGGUGUCCGUAUACACUGGAAUAUUACUCAGCCACAAAAAAAAAAAAAAAAAAAGAACGAGAUCUUGUCGUUUG